AAAAAUAAGCUUUGACCAACAAUCAAUUUUCCUUUAGAUGCAUAAUCUUAAACUUCAGUUUGUGACUGUAUCCUGACAUACUAAACUGGUAAAAUCAAGCUGAUUGUUAACUUGCUACAUAAAGGUCUAGCUGUAAGUGGAGUGUCCACUCCUUGAAUAAGCUGCUCCUAGUUUAGAAACAUAGAGCACCAUCCAUCGAGGCUUAGUUUUGAAAGAGUAUAGUAAACUUUCUGGUUUUCUGAACUAUGCCAGCACCUACAGUAACGUUAUUAUUUUUGUUGUUUUUUGUUCUGAACUUCCUGGUCUUGUUUUUCUAGGCUUGUUGGCUGCUUCUCCUUGAUAGUGCCGCAGUUACAUCCUGCAUGUUGCUUGCUUCACUUGUUACAUCACAACGCAUGAAAUCUUCAUUUUCUGUUUAUGUAAUCUGACAUGAACUGCUUGUUAGCAGUGUCGCAUGUUUAACAUUGUUUUACACAAUCUAGGUCUUUUGGCAAUUCAUUCAGUUCACUCCCUGUCAUCUUGUCCAGCUUCAGUUACUAAAAUCAUGCCACCAGUUCUGGAGACUAAGAGGGCAAGCAGGGCAUAUCUUGCGGAACGGAAAAUAUAGGGUGAGGCAUAUUUGAAAGAAAGGGGAGGAAGGAAAGGAGAUGAAGAGGAGGCCGCUCUUCCUAUGUCGAAAGCAAUGGCACCUGAAGGUCUGGGAGCUCUUCUUCAUCAGUAGAAAUCCGAGUUCUAGAAGUAAGAAUUGAAUAGAAGGAUAGAGAGGCAAAAGAUGCAAAUGCUAGGCACAAGGACGAGUUACCCGUGAGACUUGAAGCACAAGACAUAGCAUUUGAAGAGAUGUAGAGGAAAGCAUCAAGAAGAAUUGGAAGUUGUGAAGAAGAGCCAACAAGAGAAGAAUGAAGCUUGGGAAAAGAAGCAACAUGAGACGGAUAACCUGAUUGGUAUUCUCUCAAGUGCUCAAGCAACUCAGCAAGCAAGUCAGCCCAAACUUGUGAUGGUGCAUGAAGGCCAUCCUUUUGUGAUAGAAAGAUAGUUGCUGAAUCAUACAUUGCAAUAAUUAGGACAACACAUGUGAUCUUUCAGUUAUGAAAAUAUUACUUUUUAUCUUGUCUAUUGUCGUGUCAAACUUGAGUCAGUGUUAUUUUUAUUAUCACUUCUACUUGGUGGAUGAUUUGGCUGAGACGAUUGAAUGUAUAAUAUGAUUUGUCUUUCAUUUCAA